GGGGACUCCUCUAAGCUAGCAUGCAUGCCUCCGAAUAAAAGAAUCGCUUCUCUCAGACUCUGAAAGCCGCUCCACACACCUUUUAAAUACUAUAACGAGCUUCCCCGGGGUUCCCCUUCGCGGCGGGUUCCCGGAUAACAUUGAUAAUGCUGAUUCUUAUGAUGCUACUACAACAACGUACCCCCUGGGACCCGGGCCCUGAGGACGGGGGUGGUGUGACCCCGUCGCACUAUAAACUGGCAACGGCCACUUCAUCUGACCACCAUACCAAACGGGGAUCCCCUCUUAAGGCUUCGGGGAUUGCCGGGGGGGUUCUGGGUGGUUCUCCCUAGGUGUUUCGAACCUAUCAACUAAAUGGAAACGAAACGGACAGGCCAUGUGGACACGAGUAACGAAGGAUAAGGGUUCGA
rnacentral:rRNA from 1 species